rfam:Phycisphaerae bacterium SG8_4 WOR_8-12_31292, whole genome shotgun sequence.
GGCUUUUUUCGCCCAGGCGGAGCUCGACCGCCGACUGAAGAAAUGAUCGCAUACAUCGAUCAGCACAGAGAUCGAUAUGGGGUCGAGCCAAUCUGCCAGGUGUUGCCGAUUGCCCCG